rnacentral:rRNA from 1 species
GACGAACGCUGGCGGCAUGCCUAAUACAUGCAAGUCGAGCGAACAGAUGAAGUGCUUGCACUUCUGACGUUAGCGGCGAACGGGUGAGUAACACGUAAGGAAUCUACCUAUAAGCGGGGGAUAACAUUCGGAAACGGGUGCUAAUACCGCAUAAUAUCUUCUUCCGCAUGGAAGAAGAUUGAAAGACGGCUCUGCUGUCACUUAUAGAUGACCUUGCGGUGCAUUAGUUAGUUGGUGGGGUAAUGGCCUACCAAGACAAUGAUGCAUAGCCGACCUGAGAGGGGAAUCUGCCACAUUGGGACUGAGACACGGCCCAAACUCCUACGGGAGGAAGCAGUAGGGAAUCUUACGCAAUGGGCGAAAGCCUGACGGAGCAAUGCCGCGUGAGUGAAGAAGGCCUUCGGGUCGUAAAACUCUGUUAUAAGAGAAGAACAAAUUGCAGAGUAACUGCUACAGUCUUGACGGUAUCUUAUCAGAAAGCCACGGCUAACUACGUGCCAGCAGCCGCCGUAAGAC